rnacentral:rRNA from 1 species
CAGCAGCCGCGGUAAUACGUAGGUGGCAAGCGUUGUCCGGAAUUAUUGGGCGUAAAGCGCGCGCAGGCGGUUUCUUAAGUCUGAUGUGAAAGCCCCCGGCUUAACCGGGGAGGGUCAUUGGAAACUGGGAGACUUAGAGUGCAGAAGAGGAGAGUGGAAUUCCAUGUGUAGCGGUGAAAUGCGUAGAUAUAUGGAGGAACACCAGUGGCGAAGGCGACUCUCAGGUCUGUAACUGACGCUGAGGCGCGAAAGCGUGGGGAGCAAACAGGAUUAGAUACCCCUGUAGUCCCUGUCUCUUAUA